UACGUAGGGUGCAAGCGUUGUCCGGAAUUAUUGGGCGUAAAGAGCUCGUAGGCGGUUUGUCGCGUCUGCUGUGAAAACUCGAGGCUUAACCCCGGGCCUGCAGUGGGUACGGGCAGACUAGAGUGCGGUAGGGGAGACUGGAAUUCCUGGUGUAGCGGUGAAAUGCGCAGAUAUCAGGAGGAACACCGGUGGCGAAGGCGGGUCUCUGGGCCGUAACUGACGCUGAGGAGCGAAAGCAUGGGGAGCGAACAGG
rnacentral:rRNA from 1 species